UACAGAGACUGCAAGCGUUAUUCGGAUUCACUGGGCGUAAAGGGUGCGCAGGCGGCCAAGUGUGUGAGGCGUGAAAGCCCGGGGCUUAACCCCGGGAUUGCACCUCAAACUACAUGGCUAGAGCAUUGGAGAGGGUAGCAGAAUUCAUGGUGUAGCAGUGAAAUGCGUAGAUAUCAUGAGGAAUACCAGAGGCGAAGGCGGCUACCUGGACAAUUGCUGACGCUCAGGCACGAAAGCGUGGGGAGCAAAAGGG
rnacentral:rRNA from 1 species